rnacentral:rRNA from 1 species
UGGGGGAAUAAAGUCGAACGGAGAUUAGCCCAUAACCGAAGCCCAUCCUUGUAGGUGGAAAGGGCAAUGUGGUGUUUAGGCGUGUACCUGGGGACACUCACCUACUCGAAGUCCAAUUCCGAUUAUGGCUUGGAUACUCCCCACAGCGGGUGAAAGGCCCGUACGGGUAGGUCAUUGCAUUUGUUGUGUCCCUCACUUGUGCAUGCUUUCAAGUCGGAUUGCUGGAGAAUGCACUCCAAAGUGGGUGGUAAACUCCAUCCAAGGCUAAAUACCUGCGUGAGUCCGAUAGUAGACAAGUACCUUGAGGGAAAGUUGAAAAGUACUCUGAAGAGAGGGG